rnacentral:rRNA from 1 species
GGCUUAGAGUUUGAUCAUGGCUCAGGAUGAACGCUGGCGGCGUGCUUAACACAUGCAAGUCGAACGGACAUAGAGGGGCUUGCUCCUCUAUGUUAGUGGCGGACGGGUGAGUAACGCGUGAGCAACCUGCCCAUAUCAGGGGAAUAACACAGUGAAAAUUGUGCUAAUACCGCAUAAGACCACGAAGCGGCAUCGCUUUGCGGUAAAAGAUUUAUCGGAUAUGGAUGGGCUCGCGUCCCAUUAGAUAGUUGGCGGGGUAACGGCCCACCAAGUCGACGAUGGGUAGCCGACCUGAGAGGGUGAUCGGCCACAUUGGAACUGAGAAACGGUCCAGACUCCUACGGGAGGCAGCAGUGGGGAAUAUUGGGCAAUGGAGGCAACUCUGACCCAGCAACGCCGCGUGAAUGAUGAAGGUCUUCGGAUUGUAAAGUUCUGUGACGGGGGACGAACACAAUGACGGUACCCCGAUAGCAAGCCACGGCUAACUACGUGCCAGCAGCCGCGGUAAUACGUAGGUGGCAAGCGUUAUCCGGAAUGACUGGGCGUAAAGGGUGCGUAGGUGGUUUAGCAAGUUGGCAGCGUAAUUCCGGGGCUCAACUCCGGCGCUACUGCCAAAACUGUUGAACUUGAGUGCAGGAGGGGUAAGUG